rnacentral:rRNA from 1 species
AUGCCCAAAGGGUGCCUUGCUGACUAUCUCUCCGAUGCAUCUUGUCGACAUCAGUGGACCACACGUUACCAAAUAAUCAAGGGGAUCUGCGAGGGCGUACAUUAUCUUCACCAACAGCGUAUUAUUCACAUGGACCUCAAACCUCAGAAUGUACUAUUGGAUGAUAACAUGGCCCCCAGAAUUGCGGAUUUUGGUCUAUCACGGCGCUUAAGUGGAAGCCAGAGUCGGGCUAUUACUGAUCACAAGCUUGGGACAAUGGGAUAUAUGGCACCAGAACUUCUAAAUAGCGGAGAAAUCACCUUCAAGACCGACAUAUAUAGUUUGGGCGUUAUUGUAAUGGAGAUCCUUAUGGGACAUAAGGAGCGCUCCAGUGUUAAUGAGGUAGUUGAAAGUUGGAUGGGCAUGUUUGGGACAUCAAAGAGCCACACAUCGUUGGAACAAGUAAAGGCAUGUGCCGAGAUAGGGAUAGAAUGCACAAACUAUGACCCGCGGAAUAGGCCGGCUACAUGGUUUAUCAUCCGUGGAAUACUGGGUGAAGCGGAAAUCUCAAAUUGGUCUGGUACAAGUGAUGUUGGUACCUCAACAGAAGGGCAGAUAAGCAUUGCCUCCAAGCUGGCGGAUGAGUUGAAAUUAAUGGAUGGUUCUACUGCUGCACCAUCCAAACUGCCACCAUCAACGUUGGAGGUGGAGCAGGACGAUGGCAAAUUGAGCCAUGAGAGGAAGAGGAACGCAUCAAAUAUAAGCUUCUCCAAGCUAGCAGAUGAGCUGAAGUUGAUGGAAAAUUCUGUCGUACCAUCCCAACUGCAACCAUCGGCACUGGAGGUGGAACGGGAGGAAGGCAAGAUAAGCUUCUCCAAGCUGGCGGAUGAGCUGAAGUUGAAGGAUGAUUAUGUUGCACCAUUCCAACUGCAACCAUCAUUGCUGGAGGUGGAGCAGGAGGAUGGCAAAGUGAGCCAACAGAAGAAGAGGAGGGCAUCAACCGUGAGUGUAGCUACCGGGAUGAUGAGCACCCUCACUGGCAAGCUUACCACUUUCAUCAGCAAUGAGUACAAUAAGCGCAAAGAGGUGAGGAAGCAGGCGUCGUUCCUCGAGAAGGAGUUGAGCGCCAUAAAUGCUGCUCUUGAGCUGCCGGAGCUCAUGAAUGAGCUUGCUCCAGGGGUAAAAAAUUGGAGGGAUGAUCUCAGGGAGAUUUCCUAUGACAUGGAGAAUUGCAUUGAUGACUUCACCCGCCAAUUCGGAGGUGUGGAUGUUGAGGUAGGCUUUUUCUCGGAGGCUGCUGAACUUCACAAGAGGUUGUGCGAGCUUCAUCGGAUUUCCAACCAGAUGGAAGAGCUUAGGACUCUUGCGGUAGAAGCAAAUGCUUGA